rfam:Picea glauca, whole genome shotgun sequence.
AUGUACAUGUAUACAGUGUUAAUUCAUUGGAUCCCAUCAGAACUCCACAGUUAACUGCGCUUAGGAUAAAUUAGUACUAGGAUGGGUGUCACACACCCACUACGGAAAAAUAAAAUUUUUGCCCUUU